rnacentral:rRNA from 1 species
GACAGAGGGUGCAAACGUUGCUCGGAAUCACUGGGCGUAAAGGGCGUGUAGGCGGGUAGAUAAGUCGGGCGUGAAAUCCCUAGGCUCAACCUAGGAACUGCACUCGAAACUGUUUAUCUUGAGUGCCGGAGAGGAAAGCGGAAUUCCUGGUGUAGAGGUGAAAUUCGUAGAUAUCAGGAGGAACACCAGUGGCGGAAGGCGGCUUUCUGGACGGUAACUGGACG